AAACAUAUAGUGAAGUGAAACAUUGAAAACAAAGUUUUGUUAUAUUGGAAAGAUAUUUUUGUGUUUUUUAUUGAGUUAUAUAAAUUGAUUGAGAAUUUGAGCAAAAAUUAUAAAAGAGUUUUCACACUCUUUUUAUUAUUCUUGUAAAAGAGAGAGUUUUUGUGAGUGAUUGUUUUAAAUAAAAUCGCAUGGGUUAUAUUGAGAAAAUAAAGCUUUGUUAUAUUGAGUGAAGUGAAACAUUGAAGAUAAAAUUUUUUAUAUUAAGAAAAUAUUAUCGUGUUUUUUAUUGAGUUACAUAAAUUUAUAGAAAAUUUGAGCAAAAAUUGUAAAAGAGUUUUCACAUUCUUCUUAUUAUUUUUGUAAAAGAGAGUUUUUGUGAGCGGUUUUUUUUUGGAUAAAAUCACUUGAAUUAAGUAUCGGAUUCAAAACUAGUCGGGUUAUUUUUGUGAGUGAUUGGAUUUGAUUACUUGUUGUAGAGAGGUUCACUACUAUCCGUGAAGCUAUUGGUGUAAUUAUUAUUUGAAGAAUCAUAGAGAAAUUCUCGAGGAAGAUACUUGAAGAGUGGACGUGCAAGACCACCAUCAAGCUACCAUCCAUCCAGUACUACGCUUCCCCCUCCGAUGUGAAUCGUAGUCCACCAGCAGCACCACCGCGACCACUGCCGUGCACCAGCAUCUCAGUAGCAGUAGCAACUUCCCCGGGUGUCAACCACAAUUGCUGCUUCAUUUUUGCUUAAAUUUGGUAACAAAAACAUGGAUUUAUUCCACCUGCAUCCUGGACUGUGUUUUGUUCACCAUCUGUUUGUAUAAAUGCUUAGAAGAAUGUUUUUCUCUCACAUCCCCAAAUAUAGCUAGGCCAAAUUAAUUAUCCAUUGCCACAUUGAACAUUUGGGUGAUGUACUUUGCUACCACUGCUGCUUGGGGCAAGAGGUUGCAAGGAAGGAAAUCAUGCUCAAUAAUUUCCUGAGACUAGGGAGAUGUGCAAGCAGAGGAACUUCCAGAGUAUCAAAUGCAGCACAAAAAUGUGAAUAAUAAUGCAAAUUCUCAUGGCGCUUAUGUUCAAUACAACGACAAUUAAUUUUGUUUCAACCAUUUCAUGUAAAAUGUAAUAUUAUAUGAUUAAAUGGCGCUUGUAGUUAUAUUGUUUCUGUUGUAACAUGUAUGAGUUGAUGAACAAUUUUUAAGGAAUUUUUGUAGCCAAGUGAGAUGGAUUGGAUUAUGGUAUAUACCUAAAAUUAUAAAUGAAGAUUUUGAAAAUUUUUUUUUUG